GAGCACGUAGGUGGGUUUGUAAGUCAGAUGUGAAAGCCUUCUGUUCAACGGGAGAAUUGCAUCUGAAACUGCUAAUCUUGAGUAUAGGAGGGGAGAAUGGAACUUCUGGUGGAGCGGUGAAAUGCGUAGAUAUCAGAAGGAACGCCGGCGGCGAAAGCGAUUCUCUGGCCUAUUACUGACACUCAGUGUGCGAAAGCUAGGGGAGCAAACGGGAUUAGAUACCCCGGUAGCCAGGCAGU
rnacentral:rRNA from 1 species